CAGCCAUUUGUAUGCGGCCGCGGGAUUGGUCGCCCGGCUCCCGCGAGGGGGAGGGGAAGGAGGCAGCGCGCACUCGCGCGUGCGUGAGCUGGCGCGCGAGAAAGGGCCCGGUCGCGCCGAGGCUCGAGCGGCCGUCGCCAUUUUGUAGGGUUCUCUCUGACGCGGGAGCCGCCGCCACCGCCGCCGCCACCCGGAGGCUCUUGUCAGGAUGGUGAAGCUGUUCAUUGGAAACCUGCCCCGGGAGGCCACAGAGCAGGAGAUCCGCUCACUCUUUGAGCAGUAUGGGAAGGUGCUGGAAUGUGACAUCAUUAAGAACUACGGCUUUGUGCACAUAGAGGACAAGACGGCGGCUGAGGAUGCCAUACGCAACCUGCACCACUACAAGCUGCACGGGGUGAACAUCAACGUGGAAGCCAGCAAGAAUAAGAGCAAAGCCUCAACCAAGUUACAUGUGGGCAACAUCAGUCCUACUUGUACCAACCAGGAGCUUCGGGCCAAGUUUGAGGAGUAUGGUCCAGUCAUCGAAUGUGACAUCGUGAAAGAUUAUGCCUUCGUACACAUGGAGCGGGCAGAGGAUGCAGUGGAGGCCAUCAGGGGCCUUGACAACACAGAGUUUCAAGGCAAACGAAUGCACGUACAGUUGUCCACCAGCCGGCUUCGGACUGCCCCUGGGAUGGGAGACCAGAGUGGCUGCUAUCGGUGCGGGAAAGAGGGGCACUGGUCCAAAGAGUGUCCAGUAGAUCGUACAGGUCGUGUGGCGGACUUUACCGAGCAGUACAAUGAACAGUAUGGAGCGGUGCGCACGCCUUACACCAUGGGCUACGGGGAAUCCAUGUAUUACAACGAUGCAUACGGAGCGCUCGACUACUAUAAGCGUUACCGGGUCCGCUCUUACGAGGCAGUGGCGGCGGCGGCGGCGGCUUCUGCAUACAACUACGCGGAGCAGACCAUGUCCCAUCUGCCUCAAGUCCAGAGCACAGCUGUGACCAGUCACCUCAACUCCACUUCUGUUGAUCCCUACGACAGACACCUGUUGCCGAACUCAGGUGCUGCUGCCACCUCGGCUGCUAUGGCCGCGGCCGCUGCCAACACUUCCUCCUAUUACGGAAGGGACAGGAGCCCCCUGCGUCGAGCCACAGCUGUGCUCCCCACAGUUGGAGAGGGCUACGGUUAUGGGCCAGAGAGUGAGCUGUCUCAGGCUUCGGCGGCCGCGCGGAAUUCCCUGUACGACAUGGCCCGGUAUGAGCGGGAGCAGUAUGUGGACCGAGCGCGGUACUCAGCCUUUUAAAAACUGGAGGUGUGAACCUCAAAUGGACUGAAUAACCCUGAGUUGGUUGCAGUCCCAGGAGCCUGAUGUUAAUGAGGCUGCCAGGAUGAAAUACUCCAGAACUGUUGGGGAUCUGAAUUUGGGUCUCACCCUAGCAGAACUGAUUCAAGAACGUCACAACUUUUGAAGUCGGACGGGACCAGGGCCCUUGUACUCGGAGCCAAGCUGCUCUCCAGGCAUUGUGUAAGCCUCUUGUGUUGUGCUCUCUUUCAGGUAGGAUAAUUGCGGACUGAACCCUCGGGCUGCGGUCAUAUAUGAGAACUUGCUCCGCGCGGUCCCCUUUGCCGGGAUGUUUCCAUUGCUUCAUGUUUCAGUAAACAAAGGAGUUUGUGACCAACUAUGUUUUCUUUCUUAAUUUAAUUCUUCUAAGUUGACUUUUCUUUCCUCCUGAUACUAGUCUCUGUAGCCUUUCACUCUAUUCCUUAUAUUCUCAGCCUCUGAGCAGCCCUAGGUAAGGAUUAUGCUGGCAUCCCCUUUUUCCUGUACAGGGGAACCCCUCUUAUCUUGCUUUCCUUAGGAGUUGAACCCUUCUCCCUGUCUACCUGCAACAUCUCCUUUCCCUUUAAAAUGACCAUGUAGUGGCAAGCGACCUUUUACUCUUCUCUGUUAGCUCUGGACUCUAACAUUGAAGCUAAUCUUUUGAAACUGCUAGGACCAUUGGGGUUUUGGGGGUGGGGUUGUUUUGUUUGUUUGUUUUGUUUUUUUUAUGUCUGACCUGUGAUCGUGGUACAGCAUUAGCUGAAAUUUAGCCUUGUUUUACUCCACUCCUCCCAUUUUUUUUUUUUUAAUAUUUUGACAAAUAAACGUUUCUAACACUUAAGUA